AAAAACUUAAGGGGUUUUUGAUCGACAUUUAGGGGUAUUUGAAGUUGGUCCUAGGGGGAACAUUUUGUAGGAGUUGGCAUCACUGAUCUCAUGGCAUAACACAAUGUAAUGCCAUAACAUAAUUUGUACGAUGUUACAAUAGUUAUGAAAUUAUCUCACAUGCUCAAUAAAUAUGAUACGGUUGAUAACACAAUUAGAUUUUCAUAUGGCAAUGUCAAGUGUCAUCCGUCACAUAAAAGUACGAGAUCUGUCAUCCACUGCUGAGAUUUUGUAAUAUGGACUAAAGUCCUUUGGCUUUCCAAUUAGAGAUAAAUUAAUAUCAUCAAUCAUCAUCAUGAGAUUUUGUUAUUAUCUUCUUGAAAUUUGUUGUUUUUGUGAAAAUGUCGAAAACCCCACUUCGAUCUCAACCGAGAAAUAUUGUUUCAAUGUUUAUCAUAAAAUAAAGGAAGACAGUAUAAAUUAAACUCAAUAUUUGAUUUUAAAGCGCGUGGUAGAGUUGAUCGGGGUUUCCAGUACUACUAUGCGGCGAAUUGUAGCUGAGGGCGCAUCGAAAUUCGAAUGAUGGAAUUUUUUUCCACGUCUGUUAAAAAGAGAGGGGGUAAUAAGAAAAUCAAACUUGGACAGUUUCGAUUUUUAGUUGAUUGUUAAUAAAUAAAGUAAAGGAAUUAUAUACA